CUGAUCCAGCAAUGCCGCGUGAGUGAUGAAGGUCUUCGGAUUGUAAAGCUCUUUUGACGGGGAAGAUAAUGACGGUACCCGUAGAAGAAGCCCCGGCUAACUUCGUGCCAGCAGCCGCGGUAAUACGAAGGGGGCUAGCGUUGUUCGGAUUUACUGGGCGUAAAGCGUGCGUAGGCGGCUUAUCAAGUCAGAAGUGAAAGCCCGGGGCUCAACUCCGGAACUGCUUUUGAGACUGGUAGGCUGGAGUUCGGGAGAGGGUAGUGGAAUUCCCAGUGUAGAGGUGAAAUUCGUAGAUAUUGGGAAGAACACCGGUGGCGAAGGCGGCUGCCUGGCCCGAAACUGACGCUGAGGCACGAAAGCGUGGGGAGCAAACAGGAUUAGAUACCCUGGUAGUCCACGCCGUAAACGAUGAGUGCUGGACGUUGGGAUACUUACUAUCGCAUGGUCCUACUUAACGCUUUAACUACUCCGCC
rnacentral:rRNA from 1 species